CUCAUUUUCUCUUCCUGCGGUCAGGUGAGGAGAGUUCUUCGCCUCGCGCCAGGAUUCUGAGGCCUCCCCAGCCAUGUGGAACUCAAUAUCCGGAGAGAGAGAGAGAGAUUCCUGUAGAAUACAAGACAAGACUAUCACAAUGAGCUGAAAUGUUGGGUCUGUGAAAGUAAUGAGAAGCACAGUGGAAAUAAGUUUCUGAAGGAUGGAAGAGGCUGGAGGCUGGCUAGUGGGAGAAGGUUCCCAGACACGUGAGAGACCCAGCAACAGAUUAAAAUCAUCCUUACCUGACAAGAGGACUCAGUGAAUCAAUGAUGCAGCAGGAAGAUGUUGUCUAUGACGUCAGAGCCCUCACCAGACACUUAAUUUGAUGGCAACUUGAUCUUGGACUUCUCAGUCUCCAGAACUUGAUAAGAAGGAGAUUACUGCUGCCCACGGGGAAAAAGGAGAACAGAAAUGGGAAAGCCGUAUUGAGAGGAUGUUUGAGAACUGUGAAAGACAGAAAGCAGAAUUGCCAUGCCUAAACCACUUUCUUUGAAGUUUAUGGAAGCACCACUGCAUUUAUGCCAGAAGGUGAAAGUCCAGAACAGGUGCUUUUUGGUUUGAGAAUGAGUGUUCUACAUACUGGCCUGUAAGGCAGUGCUACUCCAAGUGUGGUCCACAGGCUGGCAGCAACAUCAUAGGGGAGUAUGUUAACAAUGCUGAUUCUCCAGCCCCAGCUCCGGACUCUGUUUUAACGGUCUAUCCAGGCAUGAAUUCUACUCAAGUGGCCUGCCCCUCAGCAGAAGUUGGACAGGUGCUUAUGUUGCAAUUAACAAAAAGGAUACAUGCUGGGUCCUGCAGUAAAUGUCUCCCUUGGAUCAUGAAGUCUUUUUACCAUGUUACUGGAACACAGAAGGGUACUAUUGAGAACCAACUAACUUGGAGCCGUGUAUGAGCCACUGGGAAUAGACUAAAUGAGAUAAUCAACGUCUUGAUCUCAUAUUCUUUCAUUCUACAGAAGGAAGCAGGCAACAGGGAAGAGUAACUCCCCAGAGGUAUCUGAAUUUAAAGAUGUGAUAUGGAUCU
rnacentral:lncRNA from 1 species